GGGUUGUGAGGUUAAGCGACUAAGCGUACACGGUGGAUGCCCUGGCAGUCAGAGGCGAUGAAGGACGUGCUAAUCUGCGAAAAGCGUCGGUAAGGUGAUAUGAACCGUUAUAACCGGCGAUGUCCGAAUGGGGAAACCCAGUGCAAUUCGUUGCACUAUCGUUAACUGAAUACAUAGGUUAACGAGGCGAACCGGGGGAACUGAAACAUCUAAGUACCCCGAGGAAAAGAAAUCAACCGAGAUUCCCCCAGUAGCGGCGAGCGAACGGGGAGCAGCCCAGAGUCUGAAUCAGCUUGUGUGUUAGUGGAACGGUCUGGAAAGUCCGACGGUACAGGGUGAUAGUCCCGUACACCAAAAUGCACAGGUUGUGAACUCGAAGAGUAGGGCGGGACACGUGGUAUCCUGUCUGAAUAUGGGGGGACCAUCCUCCAAGGCUAAAUACUCCUGACUGACCGAUAGUGAACCAGUACCGUGAGGGAAAGGCGAAAAGAACCCCGGCGAGGGGAGUGAAAAAGAACCUGAAACCGUGUACGUACAAGCAGUGGGAGCACCUUCGGGUGUGACUGCGUACCUUUUGUAUAAUGGGUCAGCGACUUAUAUUCUGUAGCAAGGUUAACCGUAUAGGGGAGCCGCAGGGAAACCGAGUCUUAACUGGGCGUUAAGUUGCAGGGUAUAGACCCGAAACCCGGUGAUCUAGCCAUGGGCAGGUUGAAGGUUGGGUAACACUAACUGGAGGACCGAACCGACUAAUGUUGAAAAAUUAGCGGAUGACUUGUGGCUGGGGGUGAAAGGCCAAUCAAACCGGGAGAUAGCUGGUUCUCCCCGAAAGCUAUUUAGGUAGCGCCUCGUGAACUCAUCUUCGGGGGUAGAGCACUGUUUCGGCUAGGGGGUCAUCCCGACUUACCAACCCGAUGCAAACUACGAAUACCGAAGAAUGUUAUCACGGGAGACACACGGCGGGUGCUAACGUCCGUCGUGAAGAGGGAAACAACCCAGACCGCCAGCUAAGGUCCCAAAGUCAUGGUUAAGUGGGAAACGAUGUGGGAAGGCACAGACAGCCAGGAUGUUGGCUUAGAAGCAGCCAUCAUUUAAAGAAAGCGUAAUAGCUCACUGGUCGAGUCGGCCUGCGCGGAAGAUGUAACGGGGCUAAACCAUGCACCGAAGCUGCGGCAGCGACACUAUGUGUUGUUGGGUAGGGGAGCGUUCUGUAAGCCUGCGAAGGUGACCUGUGAGGGGUGCUGGAGGUAUCAGAAGUGCGAAUGCUGACAUAAGUAACGAUAAAGCGGGUGAAAAGCCCGCUCGCCGGAAGACCAAGGGUUCCUGUCCAACGUUAAUCGGGGCAGGGUGAGUCGACCCCUAAGGCGAGGCCGAAAGGCGUAGUCGAUGGGAAACAGGUUAAUAUUCCUGUACUUGGUGUUACUGCGAAGGGGGGACGGAGAAGGCUAUGUUAGCCGGGCGACGGUUGUCCCGGUUUAAGCAUGUAGGCUGGUUAUCCAGGCAAAUCCGGAUAAUCAAGGCUGAGGUGUGAUGACGAGGCACUACGGUGCUGAAGUAACAAAUGCCCUGCUUCCAGGAAAAGCCUCUAAGCAUCAGGUAACAUCAAAUCGUACCCCAAACCGACACAGGUGGUCAGGUAGAGAAUACCAAGGCGCUUGAGAGAACUCGGGUGAAGGAACUAGGCAAAAUGGUGCCGUAACUUCGGGAGAAGGCACGCUGGUGUGUAGGUGAAGUCCCUGCGGAUGGAGCUGAGACCAGUCGAAGAUACCAGCUGGCUGCAACUGUUUAUUAAAAACACAGCACUGUGCAAACACGAAAGUGGACGUAUACGGUGUGACGCCUGCCCGGUGCCGGAAGGUUAAUUGAUGGGGUUAUCCGUAAGGAGAAGCUCUUGAUCGAAGCCCCGGUAAACGGCGGCCGUAACUAUAACGGUCCUAAGGUAGCGAAAUUCCUUGUCGGGUAAGUUCCGACCUGCACGAAUGGCGUAAUGAUGGCCAGGCUGUCUCCACCCGAGACUCAGUGAAAUUGAACUCGCUGUGAAGAUGCAGUGUACCCGCGGCAAGACGGAAAGACCCCGUGAACCUUUACUAUAGCUUGACACUGAACAUUGAGCCUUGAUGUGUAGGAUAGGUGGGAGGCUUUGAAGCGUGGACGCCAGUCUGCGUGGAGCCAACCUUGAAAUACCACCCUUUAAUGUUUGAUGUUCUAACGUUGGCCCCUGACCGGGGUUGCGGACAGUGUCUGGUGGGUAGUUUGACUGGGGCGGUCUCCUCCCAAAGCGUAACGGAGGAGCACGAAGGUUAGCUAAUCCUGGUCGGACAUCAGGAGGUUAGUGCAAUGGCAUAAGCUAGCUUGACUGCGAGCGUGACGGCGCGAGCAGGUGCGAAAGCAGGUCAUAGUGAUCCGGUGGUUCUGAAUGGAAGGGCCAUCGCUCAACGGAUAAAAGGUACUCCGGGGAUAACAGGCUGAUACCGCCCAAGAGUUCAUAUCGACGGCGGUGUUUGGCACCUCGAUGUCGGCUCAUCACAUCCUGGGGCUGAAGUAGGUCCCAAGGGUAUGGCUGUUCGCCAUUUAAAGUGGUACGCGAGCUGGGUUUAGAACGUCGUGAGACAGUUCGGUCCCUAUCUGCCGUGGGCGCUGGAGAAUUGAGGGGGGCUGCUCCUAGUACGAGAGGACCGGAGUGGACGCAUCACUGGUGUUCGGGUUGUCAUGCCAAUGGCACUGCCCGGUAGCUAAAUGCGGAAGAGAUAAGUGCUGAAAGCAUCUAAGCACGAAACUUGCCCCGAGAUGAGUUCUCCCUGAGACUUUAAGUCUCCUGAAGGAACGUU
rnacentral:rRNA from 1 species